rnacentral:tRNA from 1 species
GCCGGGGUGGCGGAACUGGUAGACGCGCCAGACUCAAAAUCUGGUGGUGGCGACACCGUGUCGGUUCGAUUCCGACCCUCGGUACCA